AGAGUUUGAUCCUGGCUCAGAUUGAACGCUGGCGGCAUGCCUUACACAUGCAAGUCGAACGGCAGCGGACCUUCGGGUGCCGGCGAGUGGCGAACGGGUGAGUAAUAUAUCGGAACGUGCCUUUCAGUGGGGGAUAACGUAGCGAAAGUUACGCUAAUACCGCAUAUUCUCUGAGGAGGAAAGCAGGGGACCUUCGGGCCUUGCGCUGAUAGAGCGGCCGAUAUCAGAUUAGCUAGUUGGUGGGGUAAAGGCCUACCAAGGCGACGAUCUGUAGCGGGUCUGAGAGGAUGAUCCGCCACACUGGGACUGAGACACGGCCCAGACUCCUACGGGAGGCAGCAGUGGGGAAUUUUGGACAAUGGGCGAAAGCCUGAUCCAGCCAUGCCGCGUGAGUGAAGAAGGCCUUCGGG
rnacentral:rRNA from 1 species